GGGUGGUAAAUUUCAUCUAAAGCUAAAUAUUGGCCGGAGACCGAUAGCGCACAAGUAGAGUGAUCGAAAGGUUAAAAGCACCUUGAAAAGGGAGUUAAACAGCACGUGAAAUUGUUGAAAGGGAAGCGCUUGCGGCCAGACUCGGGGGCGGGGUUCAGCGGGUGCUCGUCGCCCGUGUAUUCCUCGUCUCCCGGGCCAGCAUCAGUUUCGACGGCCGGUCAAAGGCCCCCGGAAUGUGUCGUCUCUCGGGACGUCUUAUAGCCGGGGGUGCAAUGCGGCCCGUCGGGACUGAGGAACGCGCUCCGGCUCGGAUGCUGGCGUAAUGGCCGUAAGCGGC
rnacentral:rRNA from 1 species